rnacentral:tRNA from 1 species
UCCCUGGUGGCCUAGUGGUUAAGGACUUGGCAUUGUCACUGCUGUGUUUCGGGUUCAAUCCCUGGCCCUGGAA